rnacentral:lncRNA from 1 species
UAAUAUAUUUGCUUAUUUAAUAUCUUUGUGGAAAUGGAAGAGCCUCAUAUUCACAUGUAAGGUAUCUAUAUUCAAAAAAUUAUAAAUAUAUUAAUUAAGUUUCAUCAAUAUAUUAGGUGCACUGAAACCGUCAUUAAUCCAUUUCUUCCUCCCAAGUCCUUGACUUGAUUCAACGGGAUUUAAGUUAAUAAAAUUCCGGGUUUUCUCCUCAAAAAAAAAAAAAAAAAGUCCCAACCAAUCUACCACCACCCC